CGGGUGGGCUGCGGGGACGAGAAAGGGCUGAUCUUCUAGACGGGGCUCACAGAAAGUGAGGGGAGAGAGUUUUCGGAGUGCCGGGGCGGUGGCCGGACCGUGAGCCUUUCCUCGUGGAAUCCUUCUCCCGCCGAGGUUACCACAAACAGCAGGGAUCGAAAGCGACUAAGGCAGCGUGUGCUGCGAGGAUAUUGAUCUGAAAGCAUGUCCAGAAGCUUUGGAUAACUCCUAACCUUGUCCAAACCAAGGAAAUAAACAGUUGAAACUGCAAGAGGAGGAGGAGGAGAAAGAAGGUAUAUAUCAGGAUUUGGAAGUGUCUUUUGCAAGGAUAGAAGAGGAAUAGUGACUUACGGCUAUAAAAGAUGCCCUUGUUCACCUUCCCAGAAAUUUCUGCCCCAGCAUAGUUUGUGUAGUUGAAAUGUCCUAAGGGUUACCCAGAUUACUUAUAAUAAAUCUUUCACUUCUCAAUUUUAUUUUGAAUGUAUUGCAUUUGUGACAAAGGAUUUUUAUUUUUAUUUUUGGCUUGCAAACACUUAGUCAUCAAUACUAUAUUACAGUGCUUUCAUCAUUUAUGUCAGUCUUUGUGUUCAGAGAAUUACAUUUGGGAAAUUUGGUUGUUCAGAUCUUUAUGUAUGCUUUGUAACCAGAAGGCAGAAAAAUAAUAUUAUAGUGAAAGAAGUUCACUUUGUCUUUUGUUCUGUUUGAAAGCUACUGUGAAAAGAG
rnacentral:lncRNA from 1 species